UGCGCGGUGGUUCCGGCGGUGGCUCCGGUGGGCUAUGGAGAUUAUUCAACUUCCAGAGGCUUCCUCAUAAAUUUUUGGAAUUUUUGAGACAGAUAAACUUCGGGUGAUCGAGGUCAGCUAUUUUUCUGCAUCCAGCAGCCACAAUAGUCAUCGGUGUAUUGUGAGUAAAAUAUUAAUUUUAAUUGUAAUUUCGAUAUUAUUAUAUGUUCAAGCAUGCCAAUGCAUCACUUAUAUGCAUAUAUUUAUGUAGUUAAACUCUAGGCACGAUUUAUGUUGCAUUCAUAACUGUUAAAGUGUCAUGGAUGUUGUUGUGGUAAUUUGGAGCAGUGUGCGUGUGUUGGCGUGCGUGUGAUGUGGUGGACUAUGGAUAGGACGGGUAGUCACGGCUUGAGAUCUUCGCUGGGACUCGAUCCUUCGGGGGGUAGUCACGGCUUGAGUUCUUCACUGGGACCCCCGAUUUGGUUUAUUAAGCAAAAGUCCGGCUUGAGUUCUUCGCUGGCACCAGGUUGGAUUUAAGAGAGCUGUAUAGGGGAUCAGCUCCCAUAUAUUAUGAUUGAUAUCACUUGGUGUGUGAGUGCUCCAAAUUAUCUUUUUGAUGUUAUGAUGUGAAAUUGUUGUUGAUGUUGCAUUUCACUCUACAGGGUGCAUUAGUUUUAGAUAGUUAUAGAGAUUAUGGUUAAAAUUGAUAUUUUACUCUCUGAGUCGAACGCUCACUCCUGUUCAAUAAUUUUUUUUCCAGGCCACAGGAGGAGUUAUUUUACAAAGCAACCUGUUUUCUUCCUCGCAGGUUUAAUGUCGAUUAUUUAAUUGUUUUACUAUCUUUUCUAAAUUUAAAAUCUAGAACUCCACAUGUGUUAGUAAUAGUGUGGACCUUGUUAGAAAUUGUGUUAAUUUAAAUUUUUGAGAUUAAUAAAUGAAGAUUUGUAUGGUA